rnacentral:rRNA from 1 species
UACGUAGGUGGCAAGCGUUGUCCGGAUUUACUGGGCGUAAAGGGCGUGCAGGCGGUCUGUUAAGUUCAGGGUGAAAGCUCCCGGCUCAACUGGGAGAGGUCCUUGGAUACUGGCAGACUUGAGGGAGGUAGAGGAGAGUGGAAUUCCCGGUGUAGUGGUGAUAUGCGUAGAGAUCUGGAAGAACACCAAUGGCGAAGGCAGCGUCCUGGGAAGCGACUGACGCUCAUGUGCGAAAGCUAGGGGAGCGAACGGG